UACGGGGGGGGCAAGCGUUGUUCGGAAUUACUGGGCGUAAAGGGCUCGUAGGCGGCCAACUAAGUCAGACGUGAAAUCCCUCGGCUUAACCGGGGAACUGCGUCUGAUACUGGAUGGCUUGAGAUUGGGAGAGGGAUGCGGAAUUCCAGGUGUAGCGGUGAAAUGCGUAGAUAUCGGGAGGAACACCAGUGGCGAAGGCGACUACCUGGCCUGUUCUUGACGCUGAGGCGCGAAAGCUAGGGGAGCAAACGGG
rnacentral:rRNA from 1 species